rfam:Gossypium arboreum cultivar AKA8401 contig_276982_1, whole genome shotgun sequence.
UGGGUUAGUCGAUCCUAUGAGACGGGGGAAGCCCGUCCGAUAGCGCGUUCAGCGCGAGCUUCGAAAGGGAAUCGAGUCAAAAUUCCUGAACUGGGACGCGGCGGCUGACGGCAACGUUAGGGAGUCAAGAUACGUCGGCGGGGGCCUCGGGAAGAGUUAUCUUUUCUGUUUAACGGCAUGCCCACCCUGGAAACGGCUCAGCUGGAGGUAGGGUCCAGCGGCCGGAAGAGCACCGCACGUCGCGUGGUGUCC